rnacentral:rRNA from 2 species
UGUUCUAUAGAUUUGU